rnacentral:snRNA from 1 species
GUGCUCGCUUCGGCAGCACAUAUACUAAAAAUG